rnacentral:tRNA from 1 species
UCCCUGGGGGUCCAGUGGUUAGGACUCAGUGCUUUCACUGCUGUGGCUGGGGUUUCAAUCCCUGGUUGGGGAA